CCCCACAGAGAGGGAUACCGGCGAGAAAUUGCCGACAAGCCCGCAUAGGUUCUUGCUGAUAGAGCAGUGAGAGCAAAGUUUUCCGCAAGGGAGACGCUGUGGGAUGGGCCUGUGGCCGAUUAGCUAGUUGGUGAGGUAAGAGCUCACCAAGGCGUCGAUCGGUAGCUGGUCUGAGAGGACGAUCAGCCACACUGGGAUUGAGAACGGCCCAG
rnacentral:rRNA from 1 species